ensembl:lncRNA
GGGAGCAGUUGGGGGUUCAGUGCCUUGCUCAAGGGCACCUCAGUUGUGGUACUGAAGGUGGGAGAGAGCGCUGUACAUUCACUCCCCCACCCACAAUCCCUGCUGGUACAAGACUCAAGACUUCCCCUUGACUAUUUUACAGUCUGACAUUAAUGACAACUGAGAUCCCACACUGUGACAUGAACAUCAUGUUUGUUCAGUAUGACAAGUCCAAUCCUAAAGGACUUUUAAAAAAUUGCACAGUGUGAUCCUGGCUUUAGGAUUAUCAAAAUUUGUCUCAAAUUACUUAACUGUUGGAUAAUAUACAUUAGGCUGUCAAAAUGAAUGUGUUAAUUUUGCGAUUUUUUUGUUUGAUUGUUUGUUUUAUUUUUAAUUUUUUUCAUUUUUUUUCCCUGACAUCCUUUGGCUACCUUAACAGUAUAUAAUCAUGCUAACAUUCAUUCAAGUGCUUUUAAACCAUUCAAGUAUGAUAAGAUGGAAAAAAGAAAUGUCUACUGGUGUGCUAUCAAAAUCUCCUCUCUUUUUUCACUCACCUGAAAUGCACGCACUGAAAGCUGAUUCACAGACAGCGUGUUCUUAAUUCUCAUGAUGUAUACUGGCCUCAUUUAAUUGAAACAAUACAUUUACUGACAAAUAUUGCAUAGUAAUUCCAGUUUGAUCAUUUAUUUAUUUAUUUUGCACAGUAACAAUAUUUAUUUUAUGUGGAGUAAUUUAUGAUUAUUAUUAUUAUUAUUUUAUUCCUCUGACAGUUUUUUAUGCCCAUGAAAAGAGUGCACAUUUUAGGAACAUGACACAUCUAUUUCUUGGAAUAUGCUUUGAAUGUGUUGUGGUCUUCUGUCUAAAACUGUGUAGAGGAUUUAGUUGGAUGCAGUUUAAUUGGAUCUCUUCAUUUUUUCUAUCUUUGGCACAAUUUGUCGAACAAAUUUCCUCAUGUGGCCUUCUCAGAUCAGUGCAUCCCUCUCAUAUGAUCAUGUACAUGUCUGGAGCAGUUGGUCUUGUUUUGUUGAACUCUGGACUACUGACAGCAGAACUCUUUUUGGAAACAUGUAAGUUUGUCACAUUGUCUGGAGGGUCUGGACUAAAUUUACAAUAUUACAUUAUUAUAAAAACUUUAUCAUUUUAUUUGCAAAUGUCCGAAUCUUCCUUUUAUCCUCAUGUAAUUCUUUUAUUUUAAUGCUUAGGGAACGGGGAGCGUAUCAUUAAGGAUCUAAGAAUCAUUGUCUUCCCCUGUGAAUGUGUUUUGGCUUUAUAUUGGAUAAUUAACUUCCGUUCUUUCUAAGUAUCUUAUAAUAUCUUUUUAAUGGAGAGUUUUUUUUUUUUUUUUUUUUUUUUUUUUUUGCUAAAUAUUUUGACAUUCUAAAUAUUACAAUAAGGUAACAUGGCAUUUAAUUUUUUCUCUCUCUCUUUCUUAUGCAUCCUGUCAUAUAGUGAAGAUUAGGCCUGAGUAAUUUCCAUUUUUUAUUCUUUACAGCUGUUAUUCUCUAGAUAAAAACUGUGUAGACUGAUAGUUGAUGAAAACGUACUUGCGGGAACUUUUUCAGUAACUACAAAUCACUGCAGUUUCCAACAGAAAUGAACACUAAAGGUGGUAAAACAGUGAGCACUUGUAAUCGUUUAUGAUUAUAGCUCCAUAUGUUUGGCUUUUCAGCCAUAAUAAGCUUGCUUGGUAGCUCAGCCAGCAGAGAACUGGACUUAGGAUGCAGAAUCCUUGGUUCCAAACCCUGUCAAACACAUGACUCACGAUGAAAAAGCUGAAAGAUGAGAGAUCAAAAAACAAGCUAAAACGGCAUGCUAGUGAUUGCGUUUUUACAUCACAUUCGCUUUUGUUUAUACUCAGCAGCGUCGGACUGGGGGUAAAACCAGUACUGAUUACCAGGGCCCCAAAGGAAGAGAGGGCCCUUGAAAAGUCUGGAAUAUAUUUUAUUUUACCUGGAUAUUUUCGGGGGGGUGAGGGCUUCUGCUGCCUGAUGCUUUUAGGUUUUCCCUCAAAUUCUCUUUAAAUUCACCACAGGGCAAUGGGACAGGGACAUUUGUAAACAUUUGGGAUAAUUCCCUCACUUGUGCAUUUUACUCUAUGGGUACUAUUAUUUGGUGGUUUUACUUUGGAAACCGAUACUGUGCUGAUUGGUUUUGGCUUUAGUCCUAAUGUUCUUGAUGGCACAUGCCAUGUUUGAGGCAAAGAGGUUUUACUCUUUCUUGGUGGUACAGAUUUAUGUGCCAUUUUUAGGUAGUGAGACAGUGUGUAAAGUAGUCCCAGUAAAUGGUUACAGUGCCCCAAUCCUGCUUUACAAGUGCAUUGGGUGUCUCGGAAAAAUGGGUUUUCUAAAGACAGCUCCACCUGCAACAAAGCAACAAAACGUUAUUAAAAAAGCCAUUAUUAACUAACCCUAACCCACAUUUCAAGACAAGGUGUACAAAAUAACAGGUGUUUUUUUUUUUAUCCUUUUGUCUUAAAAUAUUUCCAAACUAUAACGGUUGUUGGUAUAACUAAGUUACACACUUACGUUAUAACAAGUGUUGGGUAAGCUACUUAAAAAAAAAAAAAAAAAUAGGGCCCGGGAUCUUGUGGAACGCCCCUGUUUAUACUAUCGGGUAGAUUUAGGACAGGUGUAGUGCAGAUUUACACCUAUUUUAAAACGUCAAGGCUAUUAAAGUUAUAGUGCCACUCAACAGACAUUUCAAGUCUGCAGUGAUGUACAAAACCAACAUCACAUAAAAUGCACCAUAUAUACGUUCAUCUGUUCACUCAGUGGAAAUUUCACAUUGAAUAUGUCACGAAAUGUACAUGGCAGUAUGUAUUUCUCAUCUUGCAAAAAAGUUCCCACAGGUACGUUUUCGGCAUGAGAUCAGGUUGGAUAUUUGGCCUGUAAUUGUUUUUUUUUUUUCAUUCUGUUGUAUUGUAUAGAAUGUAUAGAAUUCAGAUGAAAGUCACUGACAUCAUCUAAGGGUUCUGUUAAAAUAUAUCAGCUGAUCUGCUGGAUGAGGUUUGUCAUUUUAGUGUAGAGUACAGAUAUGUAGAUGCUAAUUUCUUGUUUUGAACAGAGAGCACAAGACUCAUGAAAUGGAAAAUUUGUCUUUAUCUGAUAAUGGUGAAUCAAAGAGACAGAAAUGACUCUGCCAAAUAGGCCACAUCCUGCACUCUGACUGCUCUUUUAGAAGAAAAAUCGAACAGGCUGAGCAAAGUCUCAACAAGCAAAGGUAUUUAGUUUUCUGUCACCAGUUACUUACAGGAUACUUUCAGGAUGUUGAUACAACUAUGUAAAGGUUGUUUGUUAUGCAUAUAUAUGCAUAAAUGUAUUGCUCAUUUCUUGUGUCUCCUGUUUGUUGAGGGGUUAUUUCAUAUAUGUGCAGCAGCAGUAUUUCUUACAUGCUGACAGCUGCAUUUCGGUGGUGGAUGUAUUGGGAGUAGCAAUUCUCAGUACCUUCUCUGCUGCAGAAGCAGCAAUGUAGCAGAUCAAUGUAGCCAAGACCAAACUCAUUAACAUCGUCAUGUACAUUACCAUGCUAAACUCUCUGAGAGUUGUCAUGACAGAACUGAUUUGAAUGAUGUCAUUCAACAGAUCCACUAACAUCUUUUCUUUGUCUGUUCUGAACUUCAUAGUCUCUCUGUAUUAAACAAAAUAUGAACUGAACUUGAACUUUUUGAAAACCUUGUUUUAAUGGGUAUAUUUUUAAAAAUGGUCAUGCCUCUACCUGAUGCAAUCAUUUAUCUUUUUGUUUGAACUUCAUAUCCAAUUAUUAAACUUGCAUUGCAUAAAUGUUUAGUGUAUUUUCCCUGUGUAUGUGUUUGAAUCAGUUGAUGUUGUUUUAUUGAACCCUGUUACACUGAUGACUGAACUGAUACUGAAAACAGGUGAGUUUUCUUUUUUUUUUAAAUAAUCACAACAGUGUAUUUUAUUCCAUAUUCCAAGUGUACAUAUGUACUUUAAACAUGUAUUAAUAACACAUUGUUUUAAUUUUGAGUGACUGAAUAUAGAAAUACUUUGCAUGUCACAAUGAAGCAGAAAUCACCCUCUCAUCUAAUUUUAAUCAAAAUAUUAUGAGCUGAAUUAAUCUUUACUAAAAUAGUCAUGACUGCAUUAAUUUGUCCAAAUAGUGCUAAUAAUUUUUUAACACAAAUAAAUGCAUCCACUCUUCUUUUUCA